UACGUAGGGUCCGAGCGUUGUCCGGAAUUAUUGGGCGUAAAGGGCUCGUAGGCGGUUUGUUGCGUCGGGAGUGAAAACUUACAGCUUAACUGUGAGCGUGCUUCCGAUACGGGCAGACUUGAGGUAUUCAGGGGAGAACGGAAUUCCUGGUGUAGCGGUGAAAUGGCGCAGAUAUCAGGAGGAACACCGGUGGCGAAGGCGGUUCUCUGGGAAUAUCCUGACGCUGAGGAGCGAAAAGUGUGGGGAGCGAACAGG
rnacentral:rRNA from 1 species